AGGUUGAAAGAGAACCUCAUUCCCCUUCUUAUCAAGGGCUAUGGUGUGGUACUUCCCAUCACAAGACUUGACUGGCCUCCGUGGUGCCAUAAUAUCCAUGCCAUGGCUUCCUGCAUAGUAUACAUUACUUAACUGUACAAAUUCUUUUACCUUUUCCCUGCUCCUACCACUGAUUAUAGCUGUUGGAAAAUACUUUGCAACUUCCCGUACUGCUGAACGCAUCUCAUCAGACAUGAAGGCGAGAUCAGGAUUAUCUACAAUAGGUGCAAGAGUACCGUCGUAAUCUAAAAACACUGCAAUCUUCCUCCCCUUUGCUGCUCUCAUCAUCUGAUCAAAUGAACCUAGUGCAGAAGGGUGUUCCACCACCCAUGAGUUAUAACUGGCAUCGUCUAUGGAAG
rnacentral:misc_RNA from 1 species